rnacentral:rRNA from 1 species
UACGGAGGGUGCAGGCGUUAUCCGGAUUCACUGGGUUUAAAGGGUGCGUAGGAGGGCAGGUAAGUCAGUGGUGAAAUCUCCAAGCUUAACUUGGAAACUGCCGUUGAUACUAUCUGUCUUGAAUAUUGUGGAGGUGAGCGGAAUAUGUCAUGUAGCGGUGAAAUGCUUAGAUAUGACAUAGAACACCAAUUGCGAAGGCAGCUCACUACUCAAUCAUUGACUCUGAGGCACGAAAGCGUGGGGAUCAAACAGG